rnacentral:lncRNA from 1 species
UCUCACCAGGCUGCGCGCUGGCGGGUCGGUGCACAGGGACGGGGUCGCCGCCCACGCGCGCUUGGUUCAGGGAGCCCAGGCUGUCCCUACCCGCGGCUACAAAAGCUCGCCGAGUCUUCCUGUCCACCCAAUCGCCCCACAUGUCAGCGGUUGGUCGCCUCGCGGUGCAGUGCUGGGCACGCGAGCCCCUCCCGCAGUCAUUCUCAGCACAAGCACCAGCCUGGAGCCCCGCAGCGACAGAGCUGAGAGCCCCCAAGCCGCAGAGGUCGUGCGGAGCAGGCCUAAGGCAAUAGCUAAUUGAGACUAUGCAUCACUAUUAAGGCAUCUUCACUAAAGGGCGCUGUGGAAACGCUGCCUGAGAUGCAGACACCUGUCAGAAGGGGGCUAAAUUUCAAACAAGGAACGUGGUGUUGCAUCACAAUAAAGUAGAUUCUAGUAUUACCUUCCUUUUUCAGAAGAGGAGACCAAUGGGGAGCAUUGGAAUGAUUUGGUUGCAAGCAUACUACACUACUUGUAAACUGCAGACACAGGCUUAAAAAAAGUGAAAAACUAACCAUGCAAUAAAGAAUGGAAUGAACCAUGAAGCUGUUUCUGUGGCCAGUCAUGUUUUUGAAGCAUAUCCCAUGCUAAUUUCUAGAACAGAAGAAACACACGUGUUCUUGUGUGUAAACCCAGUCCAUGGAAGAGACCGUCUGCUUGUCCCUCCUGAUCUCUGGGCCCAGACAACCAGUAGUCACCAUUCCAAGUGAGGGGUGGCUGCAACUCUACAGCCCCGUUCGUCUCUCCUCACUGUCAAAGCUGCUGAGACCCCAGACUCGACACUUGAAAGAAACCCAUGUCUGUGAAGCACUUGUGGACCAUUCAAGAUUGUGGAAGAAUCACUCAAGAGAAGGAGAUAGCAAUAUUUGCAGAUAUGCAAACUGGCCCCUUGCAUGCACAUCCUGGAGCACGUCCUGGAGCCUUUAGAGGUGAGUGAGAAGGAGACGGCUGCUGCUGUUCCAGUCUCUCCUUAGGCAGACUUGAGUUUCUACCCACUCUUCCCAAGCAGCCGCCCCUCCGCACCCGAGCGAGCCAAAGACCUGGCGGGCUGAGUACUCACUGCGCGCUGGACACAUGCUGAGCCGGCACUGCAGGGACACAGGGCGAGCCGCUGGAUGCAGACCUGUGGCCGCGGCAGUUGGGCUUAUCUUGCCCAUGAAGUUGCCUCUGAAGAACCAAGUCCAACUGUGUAUGCUGAGAGAUGUCUGGCUACUUCCUGAUUGACAGUUCUGGCAAGGUGGCAUUGGGCCCUGGCUUUUCCUCUGGAGGCAUCAUCACUUAUAGGAAAAUGUCCCCUGAAGUCCAAGGAUCAAAGCUGCUGGAACACUGAGAAGCUGAACAAAGGAGAACUGUUUCUCAUCAAACCCAGACUUCCAGACUUCCAAUAGGGUAGAAUGAGCAAGUCAGCAAAUCAUCUUCCUUGGAAACAGUGAUAAAACUAGAUGACAUUGUCAACAACAGCCAUUUCAGAAAUCUAGAAAAUGACCAAAGGCAAACAACAAACUGAGAAGCAUUUUUUUUUCCAUGAAAAAUCGCUCUAUUUCUGCAAAAAUAGUGGGAGUCUAUGGCUUCUCAUCCAGGGCUGUUUCUCUCCCCACCCCAGCUCAGUCAGUACAAAGGUUCUGGCAGCAUGAGGCAGACUGAACAGACCUGAAGUUUGAUUGCUGGAAGAAACUGACUCCAGGUUUGGCAGAGGGUGAGAAACCUACUCCCAGCCAUGUUGUCUGGUGACACAGUGACCUUAGGGACAAGUGAAUAGGGAAGGCCAGUGAUUCAUUAACCUGAGGUUGCAGUCCUGGUUGGGGAAAGCAUCAGAAUGGCAGAUAAGCUAGAAAUUUAGUAGGGAUAUGCUGGAAAUGAGACAACCCCAAAGGGGCUUGACCCCAAAGUUGUCCACACACCCCAGCUGCCUUCUGAGCAGAUGUAGGGAGAGACCAGAGAAGGCCUAGGCUAUCCACACAUCUCUGGCUAACCCAGGCUGUAAACCUGUGGAGGAGACACAAGAGGUGGAUUGAUUGCUAAUGGGCAUAUGGGGGAUCUUACUGGUUGAUAGGAACAUUCUCAAAUUGGAUUGUGGUGAUGCUUGCACAACUCUAAGUUUAUCCCAAAUUGCUAAAUUUUACACUAAAAAGGGGUGAACUUUAGGGUAUAUAAAUUAUACAUCAAUAAAGUUGUCAUAAAGCAUUCACAUUCUAAUAAAUGGCUCUAAGAAAUAUUGUUUUGAAAAUUUUCCUUUGGUAUAUUAUGGCACUCCAAAAUCAACUUCUGUCAGAACAAUAAUUAACUAUUUCUGAUUAUAGAUAUUGGUCAUCUACAAUGAUUUAUUCAGUCUUUUAUGUCCCGCAUAAGGGCUUAGAAUGCUUUAAAUUUCUAAGACCAUCAAUAGCCAGGACUCACCUGAAAACUAUAUAUAUUUUUAAAAAGACGUAUGCUCUGGGACACCAUAUGCUAACAUUUGUUGAGCACACAGUUUGCUACAGAGGUUAAGAGGUGUACUAUUUAAAUCUAACUUCCUCAAGGGGCUCACACUAUUACAAUAGUAAGCUAAAGAGAUAGAAGAAAAGUUUAUAUAUAAAAUCUCAGUACAGGGAUGGGGUUGGUAACAAAUAAGAUGCUGCCACUUACACUUGAUAAAUUAUAAAAUAUCUAUUGCAUUCAUUAUUGGAGGCUGACCCUUAUAAAAACCUUGUGGGUACUGCAAAAGACAGGGAAACCGAGGCUCAGAGUGGUUCAGCAACUUGUGUGAGGUCACAUACCUCAUGUCAAAGCUGAGAUUUAAAUGUGUGUGGCUAGGCUGGACAUGGUGGCUCACACCUGUAAUCCUAGCACCCUGGGAGGCUGAGGUGGAACACACUCCUUGUUUGUGUCCAGGAGUUCAAGACCAGCCUGGACAACAUAAUGAGACCUCAUCUCUACAAAAAAUAAAAAAUUAGCUGGGUGUGGGGCCACGCACCCCAAGGUUCUCAGGAGGCUGAGGCAGGAGGACUGCUUGAAAUCAGGAGGUUGAGCCUGCAGUGAGCUGUGAUCAUGCCACUGCACUCUGCCUGGGUGACAGAGUGAGACCCUGUCUCAAAAAAAUAAAAAUAAAAACAAAUAAAUGUGUGUGGCUGAUUCUCAUGCAAAUAUUGGUGAAGAUCUGGUAGUGAUGUAAAUUGGUAGAACCUCAGUGGGAGAUAACUUUGCAAUAGCUAUCAAAUGAAAACUGUGUAUAUUCUUUGUUUCAGGAAUUUCACUUCUAAGAUGUUUUUAAUAUAGCAGAAAUGGUUAUCCAUAAAGAAUUAGUUCAAUACAUUUUAUCUGUAAAAUGGAAUGCAAUGCGGCCAUUAAAAAGGAGGCAUAUCUGAGUAUACUAAUAUAGAAUGGUCUGCAAGAUAUAUUAACUUUUUUACAAAAGCUGUUCCCCACACUUCUUCGUGUUGUUUGAAAAGACGUGAAGGCUCAGACAGGCCUUCAUUGUGACUUGCCCAGGAUGAGUAGCAGGGCUGGAAUUCCUACUCAGGAGUCCAGAUUUAUAGGCUUCCUCUUUGCUUUAUCCUAUUUCAUAGCUGUCUCUGUUGCCAGAGCCAUGGAAGG